rnacentral:rRNA from 1 species
UGGGGAAUAUUGCACAAUGGGCGCAAGCCUGAUGCAGCCAUGCCGCGUGUGUGAAGAAGGCCUUCGGGUUGUAAAGCACUUUCAGCGGGGAGGAAGGCGAUAAGGUUAAUAACCUUGUCGAUUGACGUUACCCGCAGAAGAAGCACCGGCUAACUCCGUGCCAGCAGCCGCGGUAAUACGGAGGGUGCAAGCGUUAAUCGGAAUUACUGGGCGUAAAGCGCACGCAGGCGGUCUGUCAAGUCGGAUGUGAAAUCCCCGGGCUCAACCUGGGAACUGCAUCGGAUACUGGCAAGCUUGAGUCUCGUAGAGGGGGGUAGAAUUCCAGGUGUAGCGGUGAAAUGCGUAGAGAUCUGGAGGAAUACCGGUGGCGAAGGCGGCCCCCUGGACGAAGACUGACGCUCAGGUGCGAAAGCGUGGGGAGCAAACAGG